rnacentral:lncRNA from 1 species
UCUGGGGUGACCCCUGUCCCAGCCUCUGGAGUGGAACCCUGGGAAUGGGGCAGCAUCACUGGCCCUGCUCAGUCCAGCCUCAGCCACCAUGGGACCCGAGGCAUCUACGUCACCCCCACCACUUCCUGGCAGCCACAGGUGGAGUGAGCCUGCCUGCCCUGGGAGACUCCUGGAGAGGGGCUCUGCUUAAGGUUAGGUCUAGAAGCAGCAGGUUCCCUGGACACUCCAAGAUGCUCUUCCUGGCCCUGCUCCUCUGCCUCUUGGUGAUGGGCUUUCAGGGUGAGUGCAUUUCCCACUGCAGACCAUGCAGGGGCUUUAGC